GGCCUGCUGCACCACGACGUCGAGCUCAUCUGGAGCCCAUCGGCGGAACGGUGGCCCAUGGAAGUAGCGCCAUCUGUUCCUUGAGCUGCCGCCACACGCUGUCUUGUCGCUAGGAGGAGCGUGUCGGUACUCCACAUGAGGUGACAGCUGACGGUAAAGCCUAUUUUCUCUAAUACCCUGUUGGAUCUAGAUGAGUUCACGCAGCAUGAAUUGAAUUGAUUCACUGCUUACUUUUUGCUCAACUCGUUGGGAGAUUUCAAGGACAUGGAGGACAAGAAGCACAUGGCAGUCUACCUCGACUCUAGCGAAAACCUGCAUUACAUAGUUGUGUUCAUCUAAAGAUCGUGUUUAUAUAUCAUGAAAGAGCUUGAAAAAUCUAUGUUCUGUCUACUCUCGAUGAACUUAUUCUAUCAUGUUUUGAAGUACAAACAUUUGCAUUAUCCCAUUCCAGUUACUUGCCUUAAUUUGUUUUUUCUAUGUGUACUUCCUUUUACUCAAGAUUUCUUUAUAAUUAUUUUUGUCAUAUGCUCUACCUCAAGAAUUUCUUUUAGAUUUCUUUGUACCCAUUUCCAAUUCUAAAUGCAUUGUUUCAGGAUCGGAAGAGGAAGGUUUUUGUGCUGCAAUUCAAAUGGACAUCGAUCAGGUUCAGAAACAUACGCCUUACAUGACACACGGAUUACUGGAUUAGACAUAAACUGAAAUUAUUAUACUUGUCCUCGGCUCAUAUUUUUGUUUUUCAAGUGUAUCCCAGAUCGGAAGAGGAAGGUUUUUGCACUGCAAUUCAAAUGAACAUUGAUCAGGUUAGUAAUUGGGUUAUCAUUAUCAUUUAUCUCCGAAAUAUGUUUUUAUUUCUCAAGUUAGUUGAGCAUGUAUGAUGGGAAUUUUCUCCUUUUGUUCAUAAGUUCAGAAAAAUACGCCUUACAUGACACACGGAUUACUGGAUUAGACAUAAACUGAAAUUAUUAUACUUGUCCUCGGCUCAUAUUUUGUUUUUUCAAC